UAACAGUACCAUGAAUUAAUUGAAAUAAAAGUUGUACAUUUCACCAGAGAUAAAUGAAUUGCUAUUGGAUUACCCCUUGAAAUCAAUAUUUGAAUUUGAGUAUCUGAGUAGCGUAGAAGUCACUGAGUUCCCUUGCCACACACCGCAGACCACAAACUAAAUGAGUUCCUGAGAGAUCUCUGGCGCCAAAUUAGAAACCUUUAGCCAAGCGACCAUGUGAUGAUCUACGGGCAUCGACCUGUCCAAGUUCUAUUCAAGUAUCGUUGACCAGACCUGCCUUUGAAUAUCUUCGGGUGGGCAAUGAAUUGGAAGCUCGGAUCAACUUUGGGGAAAGGGGAUGCUUUCUCCCGACAAUUCAGGAUUUUGGUGUGCGUGAAGGCGAAUUUUAGUUCUUCGCGAAAUUAACUUCGUGAAUUUCACGUAAUAUCCGGGGACGAAUAUUUUUAGAACUCGCGCUUUAUCUGAGGACCUUGAGACUUUGCUCGAUCACUUCGUUCAGGUCCGCGGAAGAGUCGAGAACGGUCCGAGCAGUAAUUCGCGCCGUGGUGUGUUCAAGAAGUUAGUUUAGCUAGGCAGAUAGUGCAUAGUGCGAUUUUGGCGGUUUUCUGGUGCGAGCGUAGACUUGCGGAUAAAGCGAUUUGUGGCAAGUUGCGGAAGCCCGGCACACCACCACCCCCCGUUUUAAGAACGACCGUUUUCGUUCCGCCUUCCUGCUACGAAGACGUGUACCCGGCGGUACACGUGGCCGGAGAGGGCAGCGUACGUUUUUCCCGCGCCCUAGGCAGGGCAGUAGCAACGGGUCCGGCUUUGAGCCGGCCAGCGUCAAUUCCGAAAGUGUCCCGAGUGGAAACCAGCGAUCAAAAAGUCCACUACUCCACCGGCGGUGACGAUCGUCGGUGCGACGGCGUACCCCGUCGAGAAGACCACAGAUCCCCGUGGGAGGCGCCGUUUGAGAACGGCCACAUCAGCGAAGUGAAGUAUGAGAUUCCCACCAGGAGUCAACGGGAGAGCGCGUUUUGCACGCGCGCAGAAUUGCACAGUAGCCGCAAAUACCCCCACGUAGAUAGACAGCGUCCAAACCGUAAGUAGCAUGCAUGCUUUCUUUUUCCCAUGCGCAUGGUGAGAUCCUGCCCCUAGCCUUAGCCAAUCUAGCUAGCGUGGCCGCUGCAAAUUAGCCUCUACCGUUAGCCAUACGCGUAAGCGCCCGGCAGUAGGCUGCAGCAUAAAGUUUGAGUUGCCCCUUGGCGAAUGAAUACCGCACCGCACUUUGCCUGAGAACCGCACGAAUGAACUGUUAGCUAGUGAGUGAGAGGGAAAUGAAUUAGAAUAGGCCUAGAAUAAGUAUCUGAAUUCGAUGUUGAUAGAGUAGAAGUUUAAAUAUAGAUGCGUUGUUGAAUUGGUUACAAUAAAUGGGUUUUGAAUUACACUGCAACGCAAAUGUUUUUGUACACGAUACUGGGAGAAGUCUAAAGAGGUAGAUUUAGAAGUAUUUUCACAUUUUCGGUCGUUUUGAUUCUUUUUUAGUAAUUUUUCUGGGGAGGUUGGCCCUGUUAACCAACCAAGGAUAUUCUCCUUUCUUUUGUGGCUGGAUUGAAUGUUUUUGAAGUAAAGUCUUCCAGUGAUGAUACCCAUCGCGAAACCCAUUUUUGUCACCGGCUAAUAUCAACUUGUCGCACACUAAUUUCUAGUUUUUUUUCCCACGACUUCCCAGUCGUAAGCACCUUGUUCCCCUUGAUCAGCCAACUCGUUUCCCGCCCAAUCAUUUUUGGGAAAACUUUUACCCUUCCCUAAAAGGGUCUCACAGGUCGGGCAACCUUAAAACGGUAAAUGGUCUCCGUAAGAAGUGGCGCUUAAGCCAUUUAACUAUCAUCCGGGAAACUCGUAAGGCUGUCGGGUUACAACCUGAUGUCUUUUCUUGUAGUUAUGAUUCUUUAGCUUCGGCUAGGAGUAUCAUAACUUUAGAAUUGAUUGAAUGGGCACUUAAUUGCUUUGCCCCUUUCAAAUCUCCUGAGGCAGAUGAGAUUUAUCCUAUUUUGCUGCAAAAGGGAUUUGAUCAUUUCAAACAUGUUUUGAAACAACUACUUGUUUGCAGUUUUGCUACAGAAUAUAUUCCCAAAUCCUGGCGGGAUAUUACUGUAAAGUUUAUUCCGAAAGUGGGUCGUGCGUCGUAUGAAGAAGCAAAAAGCUUCAGACCUAUUAGUUUGACCUCUUUUCUUCUGGAGUGCUUAGAACGCAUUGUCGAUCAUCACAUCCGUGAUGUUCAUCUGGCCAAUGUGCCUCUUCAUGUAAACCAACAUGCUUACCAAUCUGGAAAGUCCACUGUGACUCUUUUACACAAAGUUGUUUACGAUAUCGAGAAGGCAUGCGCUGAGAAGCAAUCCUGCUUGGGUGUUUUCUUAGAUAUCGAGGGUGCCUUUGACAACGUGCCUUUUGAUGCCAUAUUGGAAGCCGCACGGAGUCAUGGUAUAUCUCCAAUGAUUUCCAAUUGGAU